rnacentral:sRNA from 1 species
AGCAGAACCAGCGGCGGCGGCUAAGCGGAGACUGUAGUAGCGGCGACAGGGACGACGGCAGCGAUGGCUGGGGCGGGGCCAGCCCCGGGACUCCCGGGUGCAGGAGGACCCGUGGUCCCGGGUCCUGGCGCUGGCAUCCCGGGCAAAAGCGGCGAGGAACGCUUGAAGGAAAUGGAGGCGGAGAUGGCCCUGUUUGAGCAGGAAGUUCUGGGGGCUCCAGUACCUGGAAUCCCAACUGCUGUGCCUGCGGUGCCCACGGUCCCCACGGUCCCCACAGUAGAAGCGAUGCAGGUCCCAGCGGCUCCUGUGAUCCGCCCAAUUAUCGCGACCAACACAUACCAGCAGGUCCAGCAGACUCUGGAGGCCCGAGCAGCUGCUGCAGCCACAGUAGUUCCUCCCAUGGUGGGUGGCCCUCCUUUUGUAGGCCCUGUUGGCUUUGGCCCUGGUGAUCGGAGUCACCUGGACAGCCCAGAGGCUCGAGAAGCCAUGUUCCUGCGGCGGGCAGGUGAGUCUGGGGCCAGGGACCCCCACAUUUAAUCAGGCACUCUUGUUUACAUGACUUCAGCCUCUUGCCUAAAUCCUUGCUCUAAAUUACCCUUUGCCUUUGAUCCCAACUUGAUGUUGUCAUCCGAAAGCACAAACCUGAUCAUGUCCUUUCUGAUGAUGUCAAUUUUGUUUUAACCUGAUCAUUGCAAACCAACCCUCCUGCUGUCAGUCCUAAUUCCCAGUUACCACAGCACUUAACACCUCAUAACAAGCUAUAUAAUUUCUUAUUUACUAUGGCUAUCAUCUUUUGCAUCCUCUAAAAUAAAAGCUCCAUGAGGGGCAGAAGUCUCAGUAUCUGCCACAUAGGAAGCAUUAUGUACUGUCUGUUGAUGGGAUGAACGGACUGUUGAGACAAGCGCCAGGCUUUUCCCCUGGCAGUCACAACCCUACAUGACCUUGCUUCUUGCAGGGAGAGAUCCCCAGCAGCCCGAACAUUUCUGGGAUGUGCCAGCAGUGCUUUUGUUAA